rnacentral:rRNA from 1 species
GAUGAACGCUGGCGGCGUGCUUAACACAUGCAAGUCGACCGAUGAUCCCUGGCUUGCCGGGGGGAUUAGUGGCGAACGGGUGAGUAACACGUGAGUAACCUGCCCUUGACUCUGGGAUAAGCCUGGGAAACUGGGUCUAAUACCGGAUACGACCGCUCCACGCAUGUGGUGGUGGUGGAAAGCUUUUGCGGUUUUGGAUGGACUCGCGGCCUAUCAGCUUGUUGGUGGGGUAAUGGCCUACCAAGGCGACGACGGGUAGCCGGCCUGAGAGGGUGACCGGCCACACUGGGACUGAGACACGGCCCAGACUCCUACGGGAGGCAGCAGUGGGGAAUAUUGCACAAUGGGCGCAAGCCUGAUGCAGCGACGCCGCGUGAGGGAUGACGGCCUUCGGGUUGUAAACCUCUUUCAGUAGGGAAGAAGCGAAAGUGACGGUACCUGCAGAAGAAGCGCCGGCUAACUACGUGC